ACGCCCAUCCUCCCCGUUCGCGGGGCUCCCACUGAUGUUUUUAUUUAUUACAUCUGUGACUGGGUAGGGAAAUACUCCGGACUCGACCGAGAGAGCGUUUGCCACUUUGAGAACGAGCGACGCGCGUCCCUGCGCGAGUUACCGUAGUCGUCGUCGCCGUCGUCGUCGUCGUCGUCGUCGUCGCCGUCGUCGUCGUCGUCGUCGUCGUCGUCGUCGUCGUCGCCGUCGUCGUCGUCGUCGUCGUCGCGGUGAUUUUCGUCGUCGUUGUCACCGCCGUCGUCGCCGUCGCCGUCGUCGGCGCUGGCAACCCACGUCGUCGCGUUCGCGUUUUCAACGAUCUCGAUCGAGUGUGGAUCGUCGAAUUGUCUGUGAUUGUCGCGAAACGUUAUCGGCAUUGUUGUCGUCGUAAUUGUUAUCAACGUUAUUGUCGUGCUCGUUUUUGUCGUCCUCAGGACGUCCUAGACGUCUCUGUUGGAGCCAAAAACGUUGCGAUGGACGACAAAUGGACGUCAACUCGUCCUUUCGUCUAAGUGUCAACAUUGAGACUCGCCAAAGAGAUAUGAUCAAGACUUGUCGUGUUCUCGCGUAUGGUGAACCUCGUACUUUCUCUUGCGAUAACACGGGACAAGGAUUUCUCAAGUGACAGUGAUAAGAUUUAUUGGGACGGUCGACAUUGUAUAUUACAACGACCCGGUGAUCCUAAGUCCGCGUGUUUUUCUUCGUAUGGUGAUAUAUAUCUUCGCGAGCAUCGUUAUUUGUUUUCAUUCAUAAAAGCGGUUCGUUGUUGUGACUUUGACGAUAAAGGCUGCUAUUGUUAAAACGACCAGAGAGGAAAGUGCCGGAGAGUACAAGUAGAAGAGUCGACGAAACGAGAAAACGAAAGCAGCGAGAAAAUUUAACCAUCGAUGGACCACGGAGCGAUGGACAGCUCUUCCGAACACAGCAGCCGUGCCAGUCCCGUAACCGGCAGCCCAAAACAUCCUCACAGUCCAUCAGCACAACAGAGUCAACAGCAACAGCAGCUGCACGGCUCCCAGCAUCAAUCCUCCUUACAAUCCCAUCCACGAGAUCAGUUACGUGAACAUCAACAGCAACAGCAGCAACAUCGAGGUGUACCGACACCAGGCUCACCGACGAGAGGAUCACCACCACAGGGUCUUCCCCUGAGUCCACCGCCUCUGUCGGCCGGGGGAGGGCCCGGUGCACCUCCAGGAAUGGUACCACGAAUGCCGGGACUACCGCCACCGGGACUGGGUCUUUUGGGUCAGUUAGGUGGUAUGCUAAGCGGUCAUCAUGGAUCGCCUUUGGAAUUGAUGGCUGCUCAUCACGCUGUAUUACCACCCAGAUCGUAUAACAGUCCACCGCCAAUCAGUACCAGUGAUCCAACGGCGAACGAAUGUAAACUCGUCGAUUAUCGUGGCCAGAAGGUCGCUGCCUUCAUUAUUGCCGGUGAUACUAUGCUCUGCUUGCCUCAGGCCUUUGAGCUCUUCCUCAAACAUCUCGUGGGUGGUUUACAUACCGUCUAUACCAAGCUAAAGAGACUAGAUAUCGUGCCGUUGGUAUGCAACGUCGAGCAGGUUAGAAUCCUACGCGGUCUCGGAGCCAUUCAACCGGGCGUCAAUCGUUGUAAACUUCUCAGCUGCAAGGACUUCGACAUUCUCUACAGGGACUGCACAACGGCCAGGUACGUUCCUUUAAGCUCCAGGCCAGGAAGACCCCCAAAGAGAGCUUCCGUUGGUUUGAGCCUCGCAGCAAGUCACCUAGCCGCGGCUGCCGGUCAUCAUCCACAGCAUUCCUUGAAGAAGCACAGGAUGGACAACGGCGAUUACUAUGAGAACGGACAUUUAGAUGUACCAAGGAUGGAAAAGUCACCGCUUUUAGCGAACGGCUAUAAUCAUCCACCCACACACCUCAGUCACAUGCAAUUCAUGCAGUUGGGAGGACACCCAGGUGCAGGACACACAGCCAUACUCUCACCAGCAAGUCUGCCGCAUCAUCUUCAAGCACAGGCUCAGGCUCGUGCCGAGCAAGGUCUCAAGGUUAACCCAAAUAUGACCAACAUCGAGGCGCUUGCGAGGUCCGGGACGGUAUGGGAAAACUGCCGAGCUGCCUACGAAGAUAUUGUCAAACACCUUGAAAGGCUUCGUGAAGAAAGAGGAGAUGCUGAAAGGGCUCUUGCAUUGGAUCACAAACCUAGGGAUCUUAGUUCGCACAAUGGUUCUUCGAACGGGCACAGUCCUGUGUUGAACCUCUCGAAGACAGCAGGAAGCGGCAGCGUUGGUGAACAUUCGGGAAGCGAAGCUGGAGCGUCGCAUCGUUCGCAAGACGACGAGGAAGAGGAUGAUAAUCUAUCAGAAGACCUCGAGGACGAGAACGAGAAGGACGAAGAUUUAUCGGACGUACCAGAGAACCUACCACUUCCAGCACCAGGCUCGGAGAGUCCUCAGGCAUUGAACUACUCUCAGAUAGCCUCAGCAGCAGUCGCAGUGUCACAGGGUGCUCAGGACCCUUCGGUUUCGAGUACGGAGACUUUGUUAAGGAAUAUCCAGGGUUUGCUCAAGGUCGCAGCUGACAACGCGAGGCAACAGGAGAGGCAAAUCAACUAUGAGAAAGCCGAGUUGAAGAUGGACGUUCUUCGUGAAAGAGAGGUGAAGGACAGCCUAGAACGGCAGCUUCAAGACGAGCAAAAAGUUCGAGUCGUCUAUCAAAAGCGGUUGAAGAAGGAACGAAGAGCGAGAAAGCGAUUGCAGGAGCAAUUAGAUCUGGAGAUAAAGAGGCGCACGCAAUUGGAGGAGGCACUUAAAGCCACGGGAGCUUCGUCCGAGCAAGUUCGAGCGAUCACUGAAAAUGUGACGACGGAAGCUCGUACAAGCUCAGAACCACCGGAAGCCAGUCCAGUACAUUCGCAAUCUCAGCAACAACCAUCCCAACAACAAUCCCAACAACAACCCCUUCAGCAACAACAAACAGCGGCGCAACAGUACAGAGAAGCUCAGGUUCCACGUCCGUCGCAACAACCUUCUACGCCGGAGAAGCCAGCAUGGGGAUACGGCCUGGACCUCAUCGGUAGUCAGGCAUCGGCCUUUUGGCAAAAUUACCAAGAAUCGCUGGUGCAGGAACUCGAGCUGGAGAGAAAAUCGCGGCAGCAUCAGGUGGCCGAGAGGGACCAAGUUAAGUCUCCUCUUCAAGAAUCGCGGACAGGCUAUUACAAAAAUUCAGUACUGUUUACGAGUGCGACUUAGAAGAUGCAGGAAGAAACUGGAAGAGGCGUAGAGCGUAUCAAUCGAAACGAUUGAGAUCAGGUCGAGGACGAUAAUAAAAGAAUGGAUAUAUGGAAGAGGACACAGGGACAAAGGGGAAGAAGAUUGUUCCGUUUACCAAAUGAGUUGGAAAGAGAAAGAAUGGAAAACGGCUAAACCAGACCAUGGACGAAGAAGAUAAAGAAGAAGAAGAAGAAGAAAAAAAAGAAGAAGAAAAAUAGGAGGAGGAAGAAGAAGAAGAAAAGGAAGAAGAAGAAGAAAUGAGACAAGGAAAAUUGAAAAGACUCUCUCAGUGAUUUGCGCAGCGUCAGCGAUAGCAGAGCUGGUCAGUUUGCUGAAAAAAAAAUAGAUUCAGAGAGAGAGAGAGAGAGAGAGAGAGAAAGAGAGAGAGGGUGAGAGGGUGAGAAUGAGAAAAUAGAAAAGAGAGAGAAAGAGAGAAAGAAAGAGAGGAAUGUAUAGAAAUUUUAUCGAGUCGUGUCGCUUCGUUCGUGUUUAUUGUUUUUUCUUUACCUUUUUUUUUUCUUUUCUCCUUAUCGAUAAGAUUUUUAAACAAUCUCCUGAUCUUCUUUUCUGUUUGUCUUUUUUUUUCUUUCUUUUCUUUUCUUUUUUUUUUUAUUCUUUUCCUUUUUUAUUCUUCCUUCUUCUUUUAAUCACGACCGAAAGGGAAAACGGGAGGAUGGGGGUCCGGGGAGGGGACGAGUUAAUGUAUAAUAAAAUAUGUGACGAGCCACGACUCCAGUAAUGUAUUAUAACAAGAGACACAGACAGACACAGAGAAAGACAAACAGAGAGAGAGAGAGAGAGAGAGAGAGAGAGAAAGAGUGUGUGUGUGCGUAUGUGUGUGUGAAAGUGAGAGUACAUAGUGAAAAUUAUCGUGAAAGAAAAGUAACGAUAAGUUAAAUACGAUAAGAGAGGCAAAGAGAGAAAGAGAGAGAGAGCGAAAAAGAGAGAAAAAAUGGACCGUACGUCGAAACGAAAUCUUGAAAGAAUCGUAUUGUAAAGGAUAAAAGUUUGUGUGCGUGCGUGCGCGUAUGUAUGCGAGAGAGUAUAUAACGAAGAAAGACAGAUAGAGAGAAAGAGAGAGAGAGAGAGAGAGAGAGAGAGAGAGAGAGAGAAAGAGAGAGAGAGAUAGAGAGAGAGACAAACAGAGAAUCGAUUCUCCUGGCAUCUUAAAAAAAAAAAAAAAUCAUAACGCAUUAUUUAUAUAUAAAUAACUUAGUUAAUACCGAAAGCAAGUAAGUCUAAUCCAUAUUGCGUGUGUCCCGCGUUUCGCAUCGGUCGUCCGAAGAAGAAUAAGAAGAAGAAGAAGAAGAAGAAGAAGAUGAAAAUGAAGAUAAAGAAGAAGAAGAAGAAGAAGAAGAAGAAAAAUUGAAAAGAACAUUACACGGUGAAAUAUUUCUCGUGCGUUUACCAGAGAGAUGAAAAUAAAUAACGUAAACAUAAAUAUAUCGAUCAAACGUUUGUUGCGCGCGCGUUCGAACGAGAAAAAGGAGAUGGAAGGAUGGGGGGGGGAGGAAAAAAAAAAGAUAAAUAAAACGAGCGACACACGAAGUUAACCGAUAAGGGAAUGGUUAAGGAUUCGAGCUGGGUCUCUUGGGGAGGGAAGGUUGGAGUAGGGAGGAGGGGAAGGGGAUUAAAGAGGUGAAUUUAAUUUAGUGGUGAAAAAAAAGGUUUAAAAGAAAAAAGAUACGAAGAAGAAAAAGAAGAGGAAAAGGAAGAAGAAGAAGAAGAAGAAGAAGAAAAGGAAGAAAAAAUAAAAAAACGCACGAAGAAAUAUUUCGUCGGAGAAGGACGAAUCCCAUCAUAUUUAAGAUCCAUGUACAAAGUCUUUUGCCGUAAGAUUCUUGUGUUGUAAAGUUCACAUAAUCAUAGUGUCUAGAUCGUAAUUGGCUAAAGCCCCGUUAAGACGAUGCUACACGUAGAGAACCACCGAUUAGCUGAUCCGUACUUUGCCAUCGUCAUUAAGACGAUUGAUUGGCAAGUAGAAGGAGGAGGAAUAGGAGGAGGAAGAGGAAAAGGAGGAGGAGGAGAAGCAAGUGAAGGCGACGAAGUGAUGAGAUAAUAGAAAGGAAACGACAAUUUUCUUCUGAUAAGAAAAUCAUUCUGAAUGAAGUUUAUUCUCGAUCGUGGAAAAUAUUCUCCUGUGAUUUUCGAAAAUCAACAAAAUCUUAAUAUAAAGAAUAUAAUAAAAUUUGUCGAACGGAGAGAGAGAGAGAGAGAGAGAGAGAGAGAGAGAGAGAGAGAGAGAGAGAGAGAGAGAGAGAGCAAGAUAAAUUUCGCAAGCAUUUUCAAGUCUGUAAAUAUCUCUUUUCGUAUUCAUUAACUAUUAUCUAAAUAAUAAUUAAUUAAAAAGUUUUUCAAACUACAGCGAUCAUAAAUAAUUUACUUAUAAUAUAUUACAUUUUUCUAAGCUAAGAAAAUGAAUUAAUAUUUAAUCGAAAUUGUUUCGAUCCACGAUCGACGCUAAAAUCGUAAUGAAUUUUUUUACGAGGGAAUAAGUAAGAGGUGAUCCAAAAAUAAAAAACAAAAAAAAAAAGAAAAUAAUAGUAAUAAUAAUAAUAAUAAUAAUAAUAAUAAUAAUAAUAAUAAUAAUAAUAAUAAUAAAGAAAAAAAACGGAUUAGAAAAUGCGAAUAGAAUAUUUCGGAUAGAGAGUGAGAGUGAGAGAGAGAGAGAGAGAGAGUGAGAGAGAGAGAAGGGGGAAAGGAAAGAGAGAGAGGGGGAAGGGAGAGAAUAGGAUUAAAAUUAUCGCUACUUUGCCAAUCACGACGACGGGAUCAGCAAAUCCAGCGAUUUUUUCGCGAGCGGAACUUAUACAAUCUAGUAUCGAGGCAAGAAGUGUAUUCAUUGUAAUUCAGCAUUAUUACCUAUAAAUAAAUAGUUGUUAUUCUA